GGGGUUUUCUUUUCGUUGCUGGCCACGCGGCACUCGGGCAUUGACGUGCAGGCACUCGGGCGAGGGGCGUACCACAACUCCCUCAUCGACUGCUCUUCCUGCACAAAAGAAAAGAUUCUGCGUAUUCGCCCUCUCUCUUUCUUAACCGACGUCUCUAGGACUCACUAAUCGCUGGUGCUGCUUCCUUGUAUCUAUAUUCUUUCCCUCACCUGCCACACGCACACACACACACACACAAAGGAGAUCAUAACUUGUGCACAUAGCAGCAACAACGCAAACAAGUCGAAAUAACAUUAGACUCCUUCCCUCCCCUUCCCUGAGCACUUCCCACACUCCCUUUCGUUCCUUUUCUCUCCUUCCUCCUCCCCUUUCUCUAGUACGGGGACCUUGGCGCCCCGCUAACCCGUACGCAUCUGCGGGUUGUUCAUGGUCUUCCUUUUUUUUUUUCGUCUAUUUGCUUGGUUUCCUUUUGACGUUGGUUCACCUCUUUGGCUUCUUUUACUGCGCUGAUCUGCUCUCUGCCCUCCCCACCACCACCAGCACCCUUUUCCCCCCUUUUGUGUGGAUGCGUUACUCGGUGAUUCCGAUCCACCGGUGGACAAUCUGUUGAUGUUCAUACACACACACACACAAAAAUAAAGAAACUGGGGACUGAAAAAGCAAAGAAAGGCGUCACGACUGUUGCGCGGUUACUUCGUGUACGUGUAUUUCUUUCGCUUGUGCUGCUUACUGGUCCUGUAUGUGUAUGUAUGUAUGUGUGCGCCCUUCUGCCUCUCGCUUUCUGUUUUGCUUUAUCGCAUACCUUUCCAUCUCUCCCUCUCUCCCCCGCCCUUCUUCUGCUUCGUCUGUGCUGCACGUUUUUGUGGUGCCCCUUCCGUAUUCACUGUGGCUCGACGGCGACGACGGCGGCUAGGCCGACGAUCACCAUACCGGUGCGUGGGCACGCACACACAUCCUCGUCGAUAACCGCUCAGGCCGCUCGUUCGCUUCUCGACCGCCCUCCCACUGUGUCGGCUGCGUUUGCUGCUGCGACCCGGCGUGGCCCGUCCCACCGAGUGGCCGCGCAUCCCCACGCACGCUUUGCAUUCGACGGAAUACCGAAGCGUCGCGGCGAGGCUCUCGGCGUUGCUGCGGGUUGUAGUGCGAGUAAGAAAAGCACCUUUUCUUGUUCAUUUUUUUUUGUUCGUUUUGUGUGUCGUGGCGUGUUGGGUGCGGUGUGUGUGUGUGCGCGCGCGCCUCCUGUGUUUUGUUUGUGGACUCGGCGCUUCCGCAUAUUGCAUUCCGCUACUCGCCCCUCUCCCGCACCUUUCUCCUGUGCGGUGUCUUAUCGUCCCCUCGCGAGAACACGUUUUGUGUUUCCUCCGCAGUCUUUGUGGCCCCCGCUUGUUUGCUACGUGCGUGUGUGAGCCGCGGCGGCUCUUAUCUUCGCCGCUGUGCGUGUGAGUGUGCGUGCCUCUGUUGGAGUGCGUCAUUUUCUUCCCCAAACUCUUCUCGUUCCCCCCUCUCUCCGGUGUCUUUCGUUCCGCAGUUGCCAAGCACAUUUCGUUCAGCCGCCACGCGUUGUCGUGGCCGAGUUGUUCGUCUUUUUGGCGUUCUUCGUCGUCGUCUUUUGCAGGUGUUGACCCUCUGUCCGAGUUCGGUGUUGAAGCAACCGUGGCGCCGCCCUCCAUCGCCACAGCUCUACUCCACUCUGUCUUCCGAGUACCUCGCUCACCUUGUGAGGGUGUGAGCGUUUUGCUUGUUCUUAUUUCUUAUAUAUAUUUCUUUGCCGCGCGAAGGGUUUCUUCGUCGCUGAGCCUACUUCUUUUCGCUCUCUUCGCUCAGCGCCACUCUCCCGGUAUCUCUCUUCUCAAACCUAUUAAAGGCGUUGUGUUCACUGGUUGCCCAGCACACGUAACAUCCGUAACGAAAAGCAGGCGCGGUGGCACUUUCAUCGGUUCAACCACCCGCCUCACUCCAUCCCACCGCCCUCUGCGCCUUCUUUGCUCUGUGUGUGCGUGCGCGUGCGCGUUUUCGGAUCGAAAACGAACAUAGAAGUAUACUAGCAUCACGCGCACACGGCGCCGAGCAGUCCAACGCACACGCACACAUACUCACAUAACGAUGGACCCGCCGAAGCACCACACCAACCGUGUGCCGACACUGUUUCAGCGCCCCUCCGGUGUAUUCAACCGUCCGGUGGGCGUCUCACCCGCGCAUAGCGCGCAUUCGGUUUCGCCCGAUCCGACUGCGAUGUCACAGGACUCUCCGGCACGCAUAGGCAGCUUUGCCACCACCUUUUUGGGCUCCAGUGGCACAAGCGUCGUCACGGUGCCCCCGGCACCACCGCAGCAGCAGAGCCCGCUGCAGCUCCGUUGCAACAGUGAGAUGCGCUCCAUCUGGUCGCCGCAACAGGUGUCACGAGUGCUUCAGGGCCUCCCGCUUGCGCACGCAGACUCGAUAGCCGAAACGGAGUUACUGUCGAGGGGCUCCUGCUCAAAGAACGAGGAGGAGGCACGUGUCGAGGAGCUGCUAGAUGGUCCUGUAUCACUCUCAGCGGACCUAGCUGAGCUUGCUGCCCCACCCGCGCCGCAUGAGAUGAAGGAGUCGGCCACAGAGGAGGAGCCGCAUGGGCUGAACUCGAAUCCAGUCACCAUCGACUCCUUCAGCGGCGGCGGCCGCACAUCCUUUGCCCAACGUAGCUUUUUUGCCGAAGCGGCAGUGGAGAUAACGUCACCCACCACCGCAGCAAGGCCGGAGAGGCUGCGCCGCGGCAAGGGGCCGCUCUUUGCGAGCCCUAACACGCCACUGAGCUUGCAGGGUGCUGCACUGCGCUCGAUGCCGCUGGAGAGAAGCGCGGCAGCGAGCGGCUUCCACAGUGCGGUGGCGCUGGCCCUGACAAAGAUGCACCUGCCACUCAGCCCGACAAGAGGCGUACCAUCAACAUCUGUGCCUGCAGAGCCGCGCACAUCGACGGGCGCCUCGUGCCAGUCGACUGCCGAUACCGCUCACGUCAAGCUCCCCCCGCAGCCUCGACCACCCCAGCACACGCAUCCACCCCCGCGAUUCUGCCGUUCAUCGUGCGGCUGGGAUGCAGCGGCCACCUCCACCCAGUCCUCGCGUGCCGCGUUUGGCGCCAAGCGGCUACCGCCGCUGGCGACAUUUAAGGGAGUCGACCCCUCCGUCAGGACCUCCAUUGCGGACAUCUCGCUGCACGACCCCCGGCAGGUGGGCACUGCUCCUCAAGCACCCUACCGCGAGUCAUCCGACAGCAGCGCAUCGUCACCGGUGGCGCUGCACGCCGACAACGAGUUCUCUCGCGUAAUGUCUCCAAACGUUAGCAAUCCCAGAACCGGUGCGACAAACGUGGGAGAGUCCUCCGCAGUAAAGUCGCUGCCGCACGCGAGCAGGUUCGACUCCAGUGGCGUCUUUCCCUCCCUCGCAUUGCCUAGCGCGUCGGUAGCCCUUCUGAGCUCACAGGAAGAGGUUCGGCCGUCUCCGUCUUCUUUGCAUACUCCACUGACUGACCGCUCUUCGCGGCGCAACACGUCGUCAAGUUCGCCGAGGCCUUCCUUUAUCACCCGCGCCAACUCCACCGCUUUAUCGACCUCUGCAUCCCCUCAUUAUCCGAUUUCGCUAACCCCGCUGCACCCUCCCACUUCCACGCUUGCCGCACAGCACUUCCCAGCCGGAGCGACUCGGGCACUGCGGAGCAGGCAACACGGUGUGCGAUCUCCCCUGGAGGCCAUUUGGCUGCGCAGCGAGGGCCUCUUGGCUCCCUCGGAGUCCAUGUUGUCUGCCGAGGGGUGCAACAAGGUUGACAGCCCGAUCUUGAACGCCGCCUCUCCCCCGCCUGCCGUUGCAGCACGUGAUGCCGGUGCCCUUCUCGGAUCUUCUUCGCAGCGGCAGUCGCAGCUCAAUGUGCAUGAGCUGUCGUCCUCUAUGCUGUCGCACGAGAUAUCAACUGUGAGCAGUGGCGGCGGUGUGGUGCCGGGCAAUGCUAUGUCGUCGGCGGGGCCGCAACCAGCUGGGGAGCGGGAGCGGCGGUCUAUGAUGCAGCGAAUCUUCCGGGAGCCCAAGAAGGGAGGGCAGAGAGUCUGGGUGAGCAUCGUGGCGCCGGACUCACGUUCCUCGUCCGUUGACGCCAGCGAGAAAUCGUAAAGCAGCAGCCAUUGGAAGGAGCGAGAGGGAGGAGGGGGCGUUGUGAGGUGCUCGUUUCUUGUUUUUUUUUCUGUUUUCGUUUUCGCGUGUGUGCGUUAAAGUACAUUAGUGUGUCGUUCUCCGUGACCGCUAUACAACAUUGACGACCAUUCGAUGGCGUCGCCUCCGUAGAGCUCUCCGUUUCUUCUGCGCUUCUCUUCACUGACACAUAUUUCUUUCUCUCCGCACCCCAUAUCAUCAACUGGCGUGAAGCGGCUUAGAACAAUGAAGGGGUUUGCUGGCUCUGACGGGUUGAGCUUGAGAAAGCAUUAUCAUCAUUAGCCGCAGUUGUACUUGGCUUGUGGCCGUUUUUCUUUAUUUCUUGCGUUCACCAAGAUGAUGCCGAUGCACUGCUCACAGCCACAGCAUUGUCUCCUCCUCUUUCCAUUUAUCUCUUCGUUUCUCGUUUCGUGACGUCCACACACGCGCACCCGUAGUCAAGCACUUUCCAAACGUGCUCUCGUGUUGGUUCGCUGCUCCGUACUCUCCCUCUUUUUCGUUUACAGUGCAAUCUCCUCCUCCUCCCCGCAUAUCUUCCUCUUCUCUGCAUCUGCUCGAGUUUGCUCGUGCGUGUCUCUCUGUCUGUGCGUCUCCCCACGCGUGCCUCCUUGCUCCUCCAGCCCCCCUCCACCUCUAUUUAAUGAACGAAAGAGGGGGAUCGGGUUGUGUCCGCUUGCCGUCCUCGCAAGGAAACGGACCCCCGAAAAAAGGAGCCGCAUUUCGUUGAAACUGCACUGCUGCAUGCGCCAGGGGUCCAAAUCCCCGUGCUGGUGUAUAUGCGUGUGCUUCCUUGCAAAUAUAGUCGUGCCUGUCUUUCUGUCUAUGCCUUUGGGCUGGCGCGUGCGGGAGAAGGCGGGCUUGUGUGUGAUUGUUCAUGAGCACGCACUUCUCCUUUCACCUCCUCCCCCUCCCACCUUUCGUGGUGCUUUCACCCCCCUCCCCACCACCACCAUUGUCGGCAUUUUUUCCCUUUCUCUUUUCUCUGUUGGCUUUGUUUACACGCCUCUUGCGCUCUUGUCUUCUGUGUUGCUCUCCGCCUCUCCCGUUCCUCAUCCUGCUCCGCGGCUCUUUCCUUCUUCGGAGGGUAGGGGGCGUUUACGCUCCCUGACCGGUCAUCCCUUCCACCCCUCCCUCCCUUGAGUACGUGUGUGUGUGUGGGUGCGCCGCAUCCUUUUUUCUUAGCGGAGCUCACGGGCUUCUCGGAUGCGUGUUUCUGUCGUUAUUCCGCUUCUUCUUUGUCGUAUCACUUUCUCCUUUCCUCCGCGCAAGAGUGCGGGGGAGCCAUCUGCGGCGUUUGAGUGUCGACGACUUUACCUAGCCGUGCUGCACAACGGAGCGAACUGGACGGCAGCCUUGUCGCAUGGUAGUCAGGUGUGUUUAUGCAUUCCUGAUGGACGUACACAGCUGGUUGUCGUAGGUGUGUGUGCAAUGCAGGCUCGCCGGGGCCGCACUGCGGGGACGUGAGUACGUGAGAGUUCCCAGGUUGUGGGAUGGAGAAGAAGGGGGUGAGGUUGACGGCCAAGGCAACGGCAACUAAACAUGCCUCUUGUCUUCGCCGCACUACCACUCUUCUGCGACCCGCUCUUUUUUUCGUAGACAAUAUUCUAGGAAGUGCUGCAAUGAUCGCACUCUCCACGCCCCACGCCCCUCGCACCGAGUUCUCUCCUCUCCGUCGCUAUUUUUCCGCACCGCAAUCCACCCGCUUAUUCCGCCGUUCCCCCCCUUUUUCGUCUUUUUUUUUCGUGCACGUGUGGCGACGCAUCGCGCGCACUCUAUUUUGAUGGUUUCUAGUUUGUAUCCCCCUCUCCUCCGUCCUUCCCUCAUUUCUGCCCUCUUCUGCUCCGUAUAAAUAAAUGUGUUUUCUUUUUUCCUUUUCGUUCCAUCGUGUCACCGUCUCCAAACGCCUUGAUACGUUGCCCUCCACACGUUUUGUGUGUGUGUUUGUGUGGAAUGGCAGCAGCAGGAAGGACGAGAUGGGGUUUGGUGAUUUCUCCCCUUCUGCCACCAGCCAAGAAAAUAAAAUCUAACAUCGCACAGGGCGGUGCCAAGCACGAUCGUAAAAGGAGCUGCAGCUCGAUCAUAGCAUCUUCCCUACUUCUCGUCUCUCAUUUUUUGUGUCACUCAUUGCCUCUGCUGUCUGGAGGUCGCGGUGAGUGGGGCGACGGGUAUGGAGGACCCUCUCACACGUGCUGAGCUCACUUCAGUCUCUUCUGCGUCUUCAUUUUUUUUUCGUUAAUCCAACGGCUUCCGCUUAUUCUGCCGUGCCUUGUCUGUCCUUUUCGUGCGUUGGGGCAUGAACACGCAGACAGACAGACGGACACGUACGCAAGCAUAGAAGGAACCCCUGGCACACACGAGUAAACGCGUCCCGUCGUCUUCGCGAGUACUCUUCCGUGCCUUCUCCCUCUUUUCACCCUCCACUCGUUGAUAGAACUCUCCCUUUAGCGUUGAUCUUCCUGUGCACUUUUACGGACUACUGCUUGUCUUUGGUCUGUCUCUGCGUGUGUUUGUGUGUUUUGCAUAGGCACGUUUUACCAUUGUGUCUUUUCUAUGUUUUUCUUUUUUUCUUCGUCUUUUGUUUGAGUCUUCCUGUGCAUCUCUCUCUGGUCCGACCCACCCCCUCCGACGCCGCUGCACUUUAAGGUCUAGCUUGUCUUUCGCAGCUCCUCCCUCCUUCCCCCCUUUCCCUCCCCCUUGUGUUCCUUUUCUUCCCCUUCUUUUUUUCCCUUAAGCGUGCCCAUUCUCUGCCGUACUGCACCCGCUCACUUCAGCUCUACCCCACGGUCCUGUCACAGGCUCGCGUCGCGUCUUGCGAAGCAGCGGCAGACACGCGGUACAGCCAUCCGCCGACCCAGGCCUCCGAGCACGGCCUCUGGCCCAAACUCCACCCGCCCACCCGCCUCGCAGGUCGCCGCGCAGCCUCCCCCAUCAUUGCCGGUCACCACGCGGUGCAAUCCUCCUCAGGCUGGCUCAGGGACCCCAAACCAGUAGACAGCGAGGGCUCCCGGUGGGUGGGUAGCAUAUGCUCGGGUCGCACGGACGCUUCACUCGCCAUAUGGGUGGCACAAGCGUGCUCACAGCUGCAGGCCGCUCCGACGCCACACCAUCCGUGACCUGGCAACCGACAUCGUCAGUAGCGAUGCAUCGGUCUCACCUCCUCACAUCGUAGGCACCUGACUCUACCACUAUCAGAGUUGGUUCAGCAUUCAUCAGGGGAUAGGGGGAGGCGGACUGCCUGGCUCCUUCCCACGCCGAGUGGAGAUGCUGGACCCUGAAAUGCCGCACACACGGAGGGUGUCCCCCCUUUUCUGGGCACGGUCUCAGCGAACCAAAGAAUUGCGCUCGCCGUUUUCGUUUCUACUCCACGGCCGUCAGUUGUGAGCACUCUCUCCGCUAGUCUGGUCGUUUCAAAGGCUUUCGCUUCUCCCUUGUACCAGUGCGCGUGUCUUCGUUCGUCUACAGCUCUCCCGCAUCUUCUCCGCCCACCCCUAUGUGUGGUACCUCAUGACGCGGGCGUCUUUCUUCUGUUGCUCAAAGGGCCCGCUGCUGAGCCGGAGAAGCUGGCCAACCUGCUUUCUCUGCAGUGAGACAAGAAGCGAAAAGCAAGUGGUAGUGCUUCGUUUACAUUCGUGCGGCAUGCACACUCUCAGAGAGAGAGGAUAAAGCUUGGGCGUGUACGUGCACACAUGCACGUCUACAGACAUACAGUCAAACCACUUCUUACUGCUUGUUGUCCCCGCUUUCAGUCAACUGCUUCCAUUUAUGUUUCUCUCGGCCCCUCUGAGGUGCGCAGACACUGAUGUGCCUUUCUCCAUCCAGAACCAACACCCUCAUCAAGAAUGCACGCGGCGACAGUGCGUCCACCCUCUGUGCUUCCCUUUUUUUGUUGUUCAUCCGGUAUUCUCUUUGAGUGGGGCCUUGAAUCGUUCAUGAGUGAGGCUGGAAGCGUCCUACCUGCGCUCUUCGUCCUCUUGGUGCCCUUGUCGGAUGUUGCUUCAAAUUCAUGCAAACCGUUGUGCGUUCAUUGUCGAGAGUUUCUCUGUCCUUCAUUCUUUUCUGUAGCUUCACCCCUCUCUCUUGUCCCGCUGGCCUCCACCUUUACUAACGUGGUUAGUGGUGCGUUGACGAAGUGCAGAGAAGUAGCGGCUGUGUGCGCGUGCUUGUCGAUGUGCUUGCGCGAUCUACCACCUUCCAUUUUCUACGCGACCUUGUUUUUUCUUUUUUUUUGCGUUUGCAGUGCCACUCAGUGCUUUCGUGAGACCCGAUGCGGGUGGGUGGGGCCCUGAUGGUGCGCCUGUGUUUGUGUGUCUGCAAGCAGGCGUACCUUCGUAUGUGCAGGCAGAUGCGCGCGCAUGUGGAGAGAGACACGUGACGCGACGCCAGUCACUUGUGUGCGUGCGAGUAUGCGCGAGAGCGCCAGGCCCGUUUUUGUGUCUUCUUGCGUUUCUGCUUAUCCCUAAUGCUGCACGGCGGCGAGUGGGCUCAUGUCGACUACUAAAUCCCAUCACCUUUGCUUUCCUCUUGAGGUUUCAGUGGCCACGCCGUCGGCCAUUUUGUCCGUGGUGGUUCUUCGUGGUUUGUGUGCCCGAAUGCCGGGGUGAAGCUCAGCUGACCACGCUCCGCCUUCACAAUCGAUUGCAUUUGCCUGCAAACCGGGAUCGGACCCAGCUCAGUGUGCUACACGGCUGCUGCCGCCCUCACGAGGCCGCGCAGGGCUCGGAAACAUGUGGACGUUCUUCUCUUGCUUGUGCGUGGUUUAUGUUUUUGCUUUGUUACUAACGUGCCCUACCGCGUCUUGUGCGAGAGCUUGCCGAAGAGUUUGCCGGAGAGCGUGUUUAUACCCCCCUCAUCGUGUGCCACUUAGUUCGGUCUCUCCCACCGGCCAAGAUGGCCGGUGCUUCGCCACGAAAGGCACUGCCGCGAAGUGGAAUUGCAGCCUCAUGGGGAGCAGAAGAAGCAUGCGUGGCUGCCGCAGAAGCGGAAAAAAAGAUGCGCUGCGCGAACCAUCCGCCUGCUCUCCCCCUUCCUCCUCCUCCCCGUUUUGCGGAAGAAAUGAGGCUCGCAUACUUCCUCUGCAUGCGGAGCCGUUCUUGUGGCCAACUCUUUUCUUCAUGCUCUUCCCCCUUCUGCGAGCGUUACGAUAAGCGAUGAUCGAGGGACAGCAAUUGCUUCAUCGGGCGAGCACAGUACCAGACAGCUAUCCUACACUGUGACUCAUGCACUGAAUGCUUUGAGUAGUACAAUGAAAAUAAAAAGGAGAACAUGCUACAUGACGGCGCUGGAAGGACCGGAGGGGAG
rnacentral:misc_RNA from 1 species